AAUCAACGCUGGUGGCGUGCCUAACACAUGCAAGUCGAACGCGAAAGCCCCGCAAGGGGCAAGUAGAGUGGCAAACGGGUGAGUAACACGUGGGUGACCUGCCUUCGAGCGGGGGAUAACGUCCCGAAAGGGACGCUAAUACCGCAUAACAUCCUGCCUUUGAAGAGGUGGAGAUCAAAGCUGGGGAUCGCAAGACCCGGCACUUGAAGAGGGGCCCGCGCCUGAUUAGCUAGUUGGUGGGGAAUGGCCUACCAAGGCAACGAUCAGUAUCCGGCCUGAGAGGGCGGACGGACACACUGGGACUGAGACACGGCCCAGACUCCUACGGGAGGCAGCAGUGGGGAAUUGUUCGCAAUGGGCGCAAGCCUGACGACGCAACGCCGCGUGGAGGAUGAAGAUUUUCGGAUCGUAAACUCCUGUCGAAUGGGACGAAAAGAUUACGGGUUAACAGCCCGUGAUCCUGACGGUACCGUUAAGGAAACCCCGGCUAACUCCGUGCCAGCCGCCGCC
rnacentral:rRNA from 1 species